UAGGCAUAAUGAUGAAACAUUAUCUGAUAAUUUCUUGUGAUGAGAAUUACCUCCUACUCAUACUGA